AUUUUGAAAAAAAAAAAAUCAAACAAUCAAUCAUUUCGGCUUUCUUCAAUUUCGGCUCUCACCCUCUCAAUCAAAUUUUUUUUUUUAAGCCAAUAACAACCGAAAAAGCAAAAAAAAAAAAAAAAAAAAAAAAAAAAAAAAAAAAACACCCAAUUUCCCAAUUUCGGCCUCUCUCUUCUCUUCCCUUCUCUUGUCUUCUCGUCUCUUCUCUCUGUGAAAACUGAAAACCCCAUCUCUUCCCCCCCUCCGGCCGGCCAUCUCUUCAAGCUUCUUCUCCCGGCCGACCAAACACACAGCAAACACACACACAAACACACACACUCGAGAGGGCCGAGACUCAUAACCAGGAAUUAAAAAAAAAAAACAAAUUUCUUUGCCUUGCUAGCAAAUUGACACUUUGACAGAUCGUUAAUGGCUCGCGUGAAGGGGAAUUGGCUAGCGUGAAGGGGAAAAAAUUAGCUGCCUCGCUGGAUAAACCGACUGCCUCGAUGGAGAAACCGACUGCCUCGCUGGGUGACUGGGUCACUGCUCUGCUGCUGGGAUGCUGGGAAAUUGGAUUGAUUUUUCAUUUUUUUCUGUAUUUUUCUGCUGCUGGGAUGCUGCAUCAAUUUCCCCUCAUUCCCCCCCCCCCCAACCGAAUGAUCCCCUCAUUCCCAAUCAUAGUUUUUUUUUAUUUUUUUCUGUAUUUUUCUGCUGCUGGGAAAUUGAAUUGAUUUUUUUUAUAUUUUUUUCUGUAUUUUUCUGCUGCUGGGAUGCUGGGAAAUUGGAUUGAUUUUUCAUUUUUUUCUGUAUUUUUCUGCUGCUGGGAUGCUGCAUCAAUUUCCCCUCAUUCCCCCCCCAACCGAAUGAUCCCCUCAUUCCCAAUCAUAGUUUUUUUUUAUUUUUUUCUGUAUUUUUCUGCUGCUGGGAAAUUGAAUUGAUUUUUUUUUAUUUUUUUCUGUAUUUUUCUGCUGCUGGGAUGCUGGGAAAUUGGAUUGAUUUUUCAUUUUUUUCUGUAUUUUUCUGCUGCUGGGAUGCUGCAUCAAUUUCCCCUCAUCCCCCCCCCCCCCCCCCCCAACCGAAUGAUCCCCUCAUUCCCAAUCAUAGUUUUUUUUAUUUUUUUCUGUAUUUUUCUGCUGCUGGGAUGCUGGGAAAUUGGAUUGAUUUUUCAUUUUUUUCUGUGAAUAUGAAUAGUAUAUAGUUGCAAAGGGGGUUGUACAAAGUGGGUCGAAAAGGUUGUGACAUAAUUAUUACAUAAGACAAAGGAGUAUCUCUGGUCCAUGCAGAAAUAUCUUCGAGCGAAGUUCUAGUUCGGGAUUGCUCAAAGUAUGGUACCUUUAUUAACAAAAACCUUGGCUCAAUGGAGAAAGUUCAUCAGUUCCCAAAUAAAGAAACCACUUUAAGAGAUGGAGACCUGGAACUGAUAAUGCAACCUACAAGGUAUUCACAUAUUUGAGAAUGCACAUCAUCAUGAAAAUUUUAUAAUACGAUCAAACCUAAUUGAUGCUGGAAGAUUCCAAAUGUAGUAACUUCUGUUGAAAGUGACGUGAUCUCUGGCAUUUUUUUCCUUCUUUUUAUUUAUUUCUAAUCUCCUUUUAGAGUUCUGGCAGUGGCUUGAUGGAACUUAAAAGAUUGAUGAGAGUUUUUGUGGGAUGGUAUUGGGGAGGGUUUUAAAGGGCAUUUGGUUUCCUGGGAAGCAGUAUGUAAAAAUAUUCCAAAGAGGGUUUAGGAGUGCCUUAACUCAAAUAUCUCUGGAGGCCCCCCCACCAGAGCAUGGAUCCUUGUGGUUCAAGUUAUUGAAAAAAGCAAGGAUGGUCUCUAAUCUAACGAUUGGAACUCAGUUAUGAUCACUAGAGUAAUGCUCGGAAAUCCAUGGAAGCUUAUAUCACAGGAUUUCAUGCUUCUAUCAAAAGUAAAAAAUAAAAAUCACAUGAUUAUACUAGACAUGCGCUGCAAAUUCUUCUACUAUUCAUGUUUAUUCCUUGUGAUGGAUAUCAUGUAGGUUUUAUUUUGUUCCACUAACUUUCUGGGACUGCUGCUUGAAGACCUUCCAAGUGAAUCAUCCCCUUCAAGACAAAAUUUCAUCAAUUGGUCAGUAAGGAGGACAUUUUGUGAAUGACGGUUCCCAUGCGUAGCUGCUCAACUGUUUUUAUUGUUGCAAAUGCUCUCCUGAUUUGGAUUUUAGUUUACUGUUGUUCUAUUUGUGUGUUUAUGUUGGCUUUAGUUUAUAUGGCUGGGUCAUUUUUCUUAAAAUUUUAACUUUAGGACACUGGUGACAACUUAAUGUCGUAUUAGAAUUCAAAGUUAUCUACUUGGUCUUC